rnacentral:lncRNA from 1 species
UUAAUAUGUGGUGGAAGGAGCAAAUGAUAACUAUUAGGUGUUGGGUCAUUGAUGAGUCAUAAAAUCAGAAGGGGAAAUGAUAUGAUCCUCUAAAUUUAGAAUGGGUCCCAGAGAAAAGCCACAAUAAAAAUAAAAUAACAAAGAAACCCUCCGAAAUAUGAGGCUGUGUGUGGUUGGUUGGCUACUUUAGUGAGGACAGGAGUGACGGUUUCAUGUUUCCACCACCAAAAAGACAGCUCAUUGUUAUU